rnacentral:rRNA from 1 species
AUGAAGAGGAAGUACAUUCACAUGAGUAUGCUAAUUGAAUGGCCGAAACAACCAGGGAACGACAUCAAUCUGUGUCUGGGGCUGCUGAAAGAGGAUCUAGACACGCCGUGGAAAACGCCAGCCAAUACGUGGAAUGCCGCAGAGAAAGAAUAUUUCCGUAUGAGAGCCGCACUGCUCACGACGGUGCGCGACUAUCUCGGUUACGGAUAUGUCGCGGGGCAGGUGGUCCAUGGAUUUUCUGGAUGCGUCAGGUGCAUGGAUGACACAACGUAUCGCCAGCUAGAUAGAGAUCCCGGGUCUUCGAAAACCGUGUUCAUGGGACAUCGAAGGUGGCUUCGCGACGAUGAGCCAUGGAGAAAACGCAAGGAUCUGUUCGAUGGUGAAACCGAACCCCGAAGACGCCCACGUACGAGGAACGGCGAGGAAAUAGAUGAGUUGUUGAAAAAUUGGAAAAAUUGCCCACUGCCGGGAAAGAAGCAAAAGGCCCCAGAGCCGGGAAAGAAGCGAAAGGCGCCAGAGCCGCUGCUGAAGGUAUGGAACACGAGGUUUGUUUUAUGGGACUUGCCGUACUGCAAGAUCCACCGUGUGCCUCACAGCCUUGAUGUCAUUCAUAUCACGAAGAACAUGUGCGAGAGUCUUCUUGGUACCCUACUCAACAUGCCAGAGAGGACCAAAGAUGGGCCGAAAGCAAGGGCAGACUUGAAAUAA